rnacentral:rRNA from 1 species
ACGAACGCUGGCGGCGUGCCUAACACAUGCAAGUCGAACGAAGCACUGCGGAAAGAGACUUCGGUCAAUUGAAGCUUUGACUUAGUGGCGGACGGGUGAGUAACGCGUGAGGAACCUGCCUUUCAGAGGGGGACAACAGUUGGAAACGACUGCUAAUACCGCAUGAAACAGCGAGGGGGCAUCCCUUUGCUGUCAAAGAUUUAUCGCUGAAAGAUGGCCUCGCGUCUGAUUAGAUAGUUGGUGGGGUAACGGCCCACCAAGUCGACGAUCAGUAGCCGGACUGAGAGGUUGAACGGCCACAUUGGGACUGAGAUACGGCCCAGACUCCUACGGGAGGCAGCAGUGGGGAAUAUUGGGCAAUGGGGGAAACCCUGACCCAGCAACGCCGCGUGAAGGAAGAAGGCUUUCGGGUUGUAAACUUCUUUUACCAGGGACGAAGAACGUGACGGUACCUGGAGAAAAAGCCACGGCUAACUACGUGCCAGCAGCCGCGGUAAUACGUAGGUGGCAAGCGUUGUCCGGAUUUACUGGGUGUAAAGGGCGUGUAGGCGGGAGAGCAAGUCAGAAGUGAAAUCCAUGGGCUUAACCCAUGAACUGCUUUUGAAACUGUUCUUCUUGAGUAUCGGAGAGGCAGGCGGAAUUCCUAGUGUAGCGGUGAAAUGCGUAGAUAUUAGGAGGAACGCCAGUGGCGAAGGCGGCCUGCUGGACGACAACUGACGCUGAGGCGCGAAAGCGUGGGGAGCAAACAGGAUUAGAUACCCUGGUAGUCCACGCUGUAAACGAUGAAUACUAGGUGUGGGGGGACUGACCCCCUCCGUGCCGCAGUUAACACAAUAAGUAUUCCACCUGGGGAGUACGAUCGCAAGAUUGAAACUCAAAGGAAUUGACGGGGGCCCGCACAAGCAGUGGAUUAUGUGGUUUAAUUCGACGCAACGCGAAGAACCUUACCGGGAUUUGACAUCCUACUAACGAAGUAGAGAUACAUUAGGUGCCCUUCGGGGAAAGUAGAGACAGGUGGUGCAUGGUUGUCGUCAGCUCGUGUCGUGAGAUGUUGGGUUAAGUCCCGCAACGAGCGCAACCCUUAUUGUUAGUUGCUACGCAAGAGCACUCUAGCGAGACUGCCGUUGACAAAACGGAGGAAGGCGGGGACGACGUCAAAUCAUCAUGCCCCUUAUGUCCCGGGCUACACACGUAAUACAAUGGCGGCCAACAAUGGGAGGCAAAACCGCGAGGUGGAGCAAAUCCCCAAAAGCCGUCUCAGUUCGGAUUGCAGGCUGCAACUCGCCUGCAUGAAGUUGGAAUUGCUAGUAAUCGUAGAUCAGCAUGCUACGGUGAAUACGUUCCCGGGCCUUGUACACACCGCCCGUCACACCAUGAGAGUCGGGAACACCCGAAGUCCGUAGUCUAACCGCAAGGAGGGCGCGGCCGAAGGUGGGUCUGAUAAUUGGGGUG